CGUAUUUCAAAUACAAAAUACUAUUUUGUAAUUUGUAUUUUAUUGAGAUUAUGAAAAUGCCUUCGUAUUUUGUAUCAAAAUACUUCAGUGUUGUGUAUUUUUGUAUUUUCAAAAUACUGUAAAAUACUUUCUGUGAAACACUGUGAUAACAUCUAUCUAUCUAUAAACGAAUGUCUCUGUCUGUGGCACCUUCGCAUAGUUAAGCCCCUGUGACGCCACGCUCGGCCACUAGGGAAUGUUGGCGCUGUUUCACACUUGCUAUGGGCAUGCACAUUGCACUCACAACACAAAACGUUCGGUGCUGCAGAUUGAGUUGGGUAGCUACGUUGGCUACUUUGUCCGGACCUGUCAUACAUUGUUUCAAAGCAAGAUUCAGGUUCAGAACGUGAUUGGAGGGACAGUUAGGAGUUGCAGGGACCUGUGAGGAGAAAUGAGUGAGAAUGAGUGGGAGAAUGGGAGACAAUGAGGAGAGCAGCUCUGACCAGCCCCUGGAAAUACCAGAGGAGAAUCCUACCCCAAGCACUAGUACUGCUCAGUGGACUGUGAGAUCAGCGAUAUUAGAUGGGACUUAUUUUGAAAUUGUGAAACAAACAGAAUCUGGGCAAGUUCAGGCUGAGUGCAAAUUAUGUACAAAGAAGAAAACCAUCAUAUCUGGUUCUGUUCAAGCCACUACAAAUUUCAAAACUCACCUGAAGAGGUUGCAUGCUGAGGUACUUCCAGAGUUUGAGCAACACAAGCAGGGUUUCAGCAGCGGAAAGAAAAGGACCAUCGGUACCACACUCAAGCAGACAAAGUUGUUUACAGAGUGUUCUCCCAGAAAUGCCCAGAUCUCUCAGAAAAAGGUAGAUGACUUAAUCACUGCCUAUGUUGUUAAAGGAAUGCAUCCUCUUUCAACUGUUGAACAGCCGGAAUUCAUUGACCUUGUUGAGGGCUUGAACCCAGAAGCAACUGUUAUCUCUAGAAGAACUCUAGGAAGAAGGAUUGACAAUGACUUUACAACAAAAGUGGAUGAUUUGAAGGAAGUUUUGAAAGGUGUUAAGCACUUAUGCACCACAGCUGAUAUUUGGUCCACCAAAGUUUCAAGCUUUUUUGGUGUGACAGCACACUGGAUUCAGCCAGAUACACUUGGCCGCCUGUCUACAGCACUAGCGUGCCGCCAUUUCCCUAGUCCACACACAUACGAUAGAAUUGCCGAGACACUGGAUGAAAUCCACGCCGAAUAUGGGCUGUCCCAUGAACGUAUUGUUGCUACAGUAACAGACAAUGCGUCGAAUUUCGUGAAAGCGUUCAAAGAAUUUAAUAUUUCAGCAGUGUGUGUGGACGAGGAGAGUCAAAACGAUGAAGAAGAUCUCUCAUUUAUCGCAAUAGACUCUUCAGACUCUGAGGAAAAUGAGAAUGGCAUUAUUUUACCUACUCAUUUGCGAUGCGCGUGCCAUACUUUAAGUCUGGUUGCGACAAUUGAUGCAAAAAAGGCCAUGAAAGAAAAUUCUAGCUUGUCGCGUCUUAACAACUCCACAAUGGGAAAAUGUUCUGCACUGUGGAAUGCAGCAGGAAGGCCUAAAAGCGCUGAAGUGGUGUCUGCAGUACUGAAAUUCAGGUUGAUUACACCUUGUGCGACGCGUUGGAACUCUCUUUAUGACAGCCUUCAUCAGCUCUGCAGCAUCCACGAGACCCUCCCUGAUCUCAUGAAACAGUUAAACCUGCCAUUGUAUAAGGAUGCAGAGAUGGAGUACAUUGAAGAGUAUACCAAAGUCCUGAAACCCCUUGCGCAGGCAAUAGAUCGAUUGCAGAGCCAGUCACCGUGCUAUUACGCAGAAUUAAUUCCAACCCUAUUUGCAAUAGAGGGUAAGCUUGAAGCUCUGCAUGCCAACAACCUCCGUUACUGUUCGCACCUUCUGCAUGCCAUAGUGGAUGGUUUCCAUCGGAGAUUUGGUGCCUUUCUAGAUCUUCGACCAGAAGUAAACGAAGCGAUCCUGGCGAGUGUGACCCAUCCGUACUUUAAGAUGCGCUGGCUCCCUCCACACCUGGCAGGUAAAAAAAAAAGAAUCCAAGAACUGAUGCUUCAGGCUGCCACUGAUCUUGGGCUUGUGACUGAGAGUGAGGCUUCAAAUGCAACUUCUGCGGUAGAGGAAGAGGAUGACUUCUUCAUCUUCACAGAAGACGUGGAGGUUUUCCAGAAGUCUACUCACAGCAAGGCAGAGCUAGAGUCACUUCAUUUUUUGGAGGACCAAAGGAAGGACUUGCCAUCCUUGGACCAGUAUCCCCUCAUCAAAAACCUUUUUGUGAGGUUCAAUACCAUCAUUCCAUCCUCUGCUCCAGUAGAGCGUUUAUUUUCCUUUGCUGGACUGAUCAACAGGCCCCAUAGGCGGCGUCUGAAUGCAAAUCUCUUUGAGAAGCUAGUUGUGCUUAAAGGCAUUAACUGAGGAGACACCACUAGGUUAUACACACUGUUUUGCACAUGCUUAGAUCACAACACUUGAGUUUGCCAUUUUCCUUUCUUUUUCCUGUUUUACAGUAUUAAUGUGACAACCUGUUUUUUUAAAUUAUUAUUAUUUUUACUUUUUUGUUGUGCAUUGUGAUGAAACCCACCAAGUGUGGUAGUGGUGGUGUUUAUGCUACCUACUGUAGCUUACAUUUCCAAAUAAAUCAUCAAUUUGGAUUGUUUGUCUUUGAGUUAUUGUCACUGCUUCAUAGUGGG